UGUAUAAUGGGUCAGCGACUUAUAUUCUGUAGCAAGGUUAACCGAAUAGGGGAGCCGAAGGGAAACCGAGUCUUAACUGGGCGUUAAGUUGCAGGGUAUAGACCCGAAACCCGGUGAUCUAGCCAUGGGCAGGUUGAAGGUUGGGUAACACUAACUGGAGGACCGAACCGACUAAUGUUGAAAAAUUAGCGGAUGACUUGUGGCUGGGGGUGAAAGGCCAAUCAAACCGGGAGAUAGCUGGUUCUCCCCGAAAGCUAUUUAGGUAGCGCCUCGUGAAUUCAUCUCCGGGGGUAGAGCACUGUUUCGGCAAGGGGGUCAUCCCGACUUACCAACCCGAUGCAAACUGCGAAUACCGGAGAAUGUUAUCACGGGAGACACACGGCGGGUGCUAACGUCCGUCGUGAAGAGGGAAACAACCCAGACCGCCAGCUAAGGUCCCAAAGUCAUGGUUAAGUGGGAAACGAUGUGGGAAGGCCCAGACAGCCAGGAUGUUGGCUUAGAAGCAGCCAUCAUUUAAAGAAAGCGUAAUAGCUCACUGGUCGAGUCGGCCUGCGCGGAAGAUGUAACGGGGCUAAACCAUGCACCGAAGCUGCGGCAGCGACGCUUAUGCGUUGUUGGGUAGGGGAGCGUUCUGUAAGCCUGCGAAGGUGUACUGUGAGGUAUGCUGGAGGUAUCAGAAGUGCGAAUGCUGACAUAAGUAACGAUAAAGCGGGUGAAAAGCCCGCUCGCCGGAAGACCAAGGGUUCCUGUCCAACGUUAAUCGGGGCAGGGUGAGUCGACCCCUAAGGCGAGGCCGAAAGGCGUAGUCGAUGGGAAACAGGUUAAUAUUCCUGUACUUGGUGUUACUGCGAAGGGGGGACGGAGAAGGCUAUGUUGGCCGGGCGACGGUUGUC
rnacentral:rRNA from 1 species